GCCUGGUUCCUCCUCUCGGUUUAUAAUCUCCACCCCUCAUAGCCUGCUUCCUCUCUAGGUUUAUAAUCUCCACCCCUCAUAGCCUGGUUCCUCUCUAGGUUUAUAAUCUCCACCCCUCAUAGCCUGGUUCCUCCUCUAGGUUUAUAAUCUCCACCCCUCAUAGCCUGGUUCCUCUCUAGGUUUAUAAUCUCCACCCCUCAUAGCCUGGUUCCUCUCUAGGUUUAUAAUCUCCACCCCUCAUAGCCUGGUUCCUCUCUAGGUUUAUAAUCUCCACCCCUCAUAGCCUGGUUCCUCUCUAGGUUUAUAAUCUCCACCCCUCAUAGCCUGGUUCCUCUCUAGGUUUAUAAUCUCCACCCCUCAUAGCCUGGUUCCUCUCUAGGUUUAUAAUCUCCACCCCUCAUAGCCUGGGUCCUCUCUAGGUUUAUAAUCUCCACCCCUCAUAGCCUGGUUCCUCUCUAGGUUUCUUCCUAGGUUCUG